AGUGAACGCUGGUGGUAGGCCUAACACAUGCAAGUCGAACGGCAGCACAGUAAGAGCUUGCUCUUACGGGUGGCGAGUGGCGGACGGGUGAGGAAUACAUCGGAAUCUACUUUUUCGUGGGGGAUAACGUAGGGAAACUUACGCUAAUACCGCAUACGACCUACGGGUGAAAGCAGGGGAUCUUCGGACCUUGCGCGAUUGAAUGAGCCGAUGUCGGAUUAGCUAGUUGGCGGGGUAAAGGCCCACCAAGGCGACGAUCCGUAGCUGGUCUGAGAGGAUGAUCAGCCACACUGGAACUGAGACACGGUGCAGACUCCUACGGGAGGCAGCAGUGGGGAAUAUUGGACAAGGGGCGCAAGCCUGAACCAGCCAUACCGCGUGGGUGAAGAAGGCCUUCGGGUUGUAAAGCCCUUUUGUUGGGAAAGAAAAGCAGCAGGUUAAUACCCCGCUGUUCUGACGGUACCCAAAGAAUAAGCACCGGCUAACUUCGU
rnacentral:rRNA from 1 species